rnacentral:rRNA from 1 species
AUUGAACGCUGGCGGCAUGCUUUACACAUGCAAGUCGAACGGCAGCACGGGUGCUUGCACCUGGUGGCGAGUGGCGAACGGGUGAGUAAUGCAUCGGAACGUAUCCAAUAAUGGGGGAUAGCGCACCGAAAGGUGUGCUAAUACCGCAUACGCCCUGAGGGGGAAAGUGGGGGACCGUAAGGCAUCACGUUAAUGGAGCGGCCGAUGCAUGAUUAGCUAGUUGGUGAGGUAAAGGCUCACCAAGGCGACGAGCAGUAGCUGGUCUGAGAGGACGACCAGGCACACUGGGACGGAGACACGGCCCAGACUCCUACGGGAGGCAGCAGUGGGGAAUUUUGGACAAUGGGCGCAAGCCUGAUCCAGCCAUGCCGCGUGAGUGAAGAAGGCCUUCGGGUUGUAAAGCUCUUUCGCAAGGAAAGAAAACUUAUCCCCUAAUACGGGAUGAGGAUGACGGUACCUUGAUAAGAAGCACCGGCUAACUACGUGCCAGCCGCCGCCGUAAAAC